AACGAACGCUGGCGGCAUGCCUAACACAUGCAAGUCGAACGAGACCUUCGGGUCUAGUGGCGCACGGGUGCGUAACACGUGGGAAUCUGCCCUUUGCUUCGGAAUAACAGUUAGAAAUGACUGCUAAUACCGGAUGAUGUCGAAAGACCAAAGAUUUAUCGGCAAAGGAUGAGCCCGCGUAGGAUUAGGUAGUUGGUGGGGUAAAGGCCUACCAAGCCGACGAUCCUUAGCUGGUCUGAGAGGAUGAUCAGCCACACUGGGACUGAGACACGGCCCAGACUCCUACGGGAGGCAGCAGUGGGGAAUAUUGGACAAUGGGCGAAAGCCUGAUCCAGCAAUGCCGCGUGAGUGAUGAAGGCCUUAGGGUUGUAAAGCUCUUUUACCAGGGAUGAUAAUGACAGUACCUGGAGAAUAAGCUCCGGCUAACUCCGCG
rnacentral:rRNA from 1 species